rnacentral:rRNA from 1 species
GAACUUUCCAGAGAUGGACUGGUGCCUUCGGGAACUGUGAGACAGGUGCUGCAUGGCUGUCGUCAGCUCGUGUUGUGAAAUGUUGGGUUAAGUCCCGCAACGAGCGCAACCCUUAUCCUUUGUUGCCAGCGGUCCGGCCGGGAACUCAAAGGAGACUGCCAGUGAUAAACUGGAGGAAGGUGGGGAUGACGUCAAGUCAUCAUGGCCCUUACGACCAGGGCUACACACGUGCUACAAUGGCGCAUACAAAGAGAAGCGACCUCGCGAGAGCAAGCGGACCUCAUAAAGUGCGUCGUAGUCCGGAUUGGAGUCUGCAACUCGACUCCAUGAAGUCGGAAUCGCUAGUAAUCGUGGAUCAGAAUGCCACGGUGAAUACGUUCCCGGGCCUUGUACACACCGCCCGUCACACCAUGGGAGUGGGUUGCAAAAGAAGUAGGUAGCUUAACCUUCGGGAGGGCGCUUACCACUUUGUGAUUCAUGACUGGGGUGAAGUCGUAACAAGGUAACCGUAGGGGAACCUGCGGUUGGAUCACCUCCUUACCUUAAAGAAGC